CUUCGUCCCUCGCCGUGGGGUUUCUGGUCGGCGGCAGCCGGCCGUCUCGCAUAGGGUUCCGGGCUCCCGGCAGCCGGCGUCCUGCCAUCGGCGGCUCCACAGCCGCCGGUGUCCUCGCCUACGGCUACUCCGGCCCCCAACAGCAACGCCAUCCCCGUCCCUCCAUCCAGGUACCUCUGAACCGCCGCCGUCCGCGGCAAGGGAAGCAGAAGCCCCUGCAGCCGUGUUGCCGCCGUUGUCCUUGCCUAGGCAGCACCUCAUCGUUGACUCCCUGGACGCCGGUGACGUCAUCUACGGAGCUCGUGCUGUGCCCUGGAAAAUCUGACAAGAAAACAUUUCACUAGCCAAGAAGCACGCACAGCCGUACUUCAUCCAUGGCAACCCCCCUGUUGAGGUUGUCGGUUGGACAAGUGUUGCGUUCUGCAUCUGCUAUUGUCUCCAGGCCAUUAAGUGGUUCCCACAUCCUCAGGAUCGAUGGCUGCUCACACUUGAAAGAGGCGAUCCGCCAUGGUGAAGGCACUGAAUCGUGCGACUUCAAUGUUGGUGACCACACCUGGCGUCUCCUGUGUUAUCCUAAUGGAAGCAACUCCAAGUGCAGGCGCCACUUCGCUGUCUACCUCAAGCUUGUCAGUGAUACUGAGGAUGAACCUGUCCGAGCAUAAUCCCAGUUCAGUCUACUCGAUCAGCUCGGUAAGCCAGUGUUACUGCGUGACGUUGGGAUGCACAAGUUUACACAUGGAGAUUCCUGGGGCUUCCAUGAUUUCAUCUGUAGGAAACAAUUGGAGAAAUCGGAGUACCUUAAGGAUGACCGCUUUGCCAUCCUGUGCAAUGUUUCUAUCAUAACUGUGAGAAAAUGCAGUGACAAUUGGGCCUUCAUUUCUCAAGAUCUUAAAUCUGAUGAGCCACCGGUGUUGAGUUAGGACUGUAUCUUCUUAUUCUGUUGGGUCUUAGUCUUACCAUCUCGCAAAAUUAAGCUAGAAGGCCUCUAUCUUUUAUAUCAAUUUAAUCCUCAGCUUCUUUUGAUAUGGUGUGCAGCCAGGAGUUCUAUAUGCUGGUCUGCUUGUGGGGUUUUGUCAAUAUUCUACCCCUAGCUGUCUUCAGUUUCCUUUUGAAAUCCUUAGGUCGUGUAACUCCAUUGCUUUCUACUACUUAAUAGUAGAGCUCCUGCUUAAAUAAUGAAAACAUUGUUUCCUA